rnacentral:rRNA from 1 species
UACGAAGGGGGCUAGCGUUGUCCGGAAUCAUUGGGCGUAAAGCGCGUGUAGGCGGUCCGGUAAGUCCGCUGUGAAAGUCGAGGGCUCAACCCUCGAAUGCCGGUGGAUACUGUCGGGCUAGAGUACGGAAGAGGCGAGUGGAAUUCCUGGUGUAGCGGUGAAAUGCGCAGAUAUCAGGAGGAACACCAAUUGCGAAGGCAGCUCGCUGGGACGUUACUGACGCUGAGACGCGAAAGCGUGGGGAGCAAACAGG